GCGCCGGGAGAAAAUCAAAGAGGCGGCCUUCUGUUACUUCGCCUCGCUUGAACUCCAUGACAUCCAGCAGCACAUGUCUCUGCUGGAUGGGAACACGGCAUGCGACCUGGUCACCAAGGAAGAGAUGGUGGCGUCGUUCGUGUACAAGAUGGACAGGCUGUGGCUGCAGGCGGGCGAGCUGAGAGUGGAGAUCCACGGAGGCCACGCCUUGUGGGUGAUAGGCCAGGGGGACGAGACUGUCAAGGUGAAGCUGCGGAGGAACCACAAGAUGAAGGUGAGUGAGGCCACGGCUUCCAUGAGCACCGACGGGGUGCUCACCAUCGUGAUUCCCAAGAAGCAUCUGUCCCGGAAGUGGUACGAGUACAUGGACUUGGCAUUACUUGGAUUCCAGACGGUUCACGUUUCAGUUUCUUCGUCUUAACAAAGUGUCGCAACAUUGGAAGUGCUCGAGCUGUCCCUCAGUAGGUUGCGUGGUAUCCAUACUUGUUUUUACCCAAAAUCAGCA
rnacentral:lncRNA from 1 species